rnacentral:rRNA from 1 species
AGCGAACGCUGGCGGCAGGCCUAACACAUGCAAGUCGAACGAAGUCUUCGGACUUAGUGGCGGACGGGUGAGUAACACGUGGGAACGUACCUUUUGGUUCGGAAUAACUGAGGGAAACUUCAGCUAAUACCGGAUAAGCUCUUCGGAGGAAAGAUUUAUCGCCAUUAGAGCGGCCCGCGUUGGAUUGGGUAGUUGGUGUGGUAAAGGCGCACCAAGCCUACGAUCCAUAGCUGGUCUGGGAGGAUGAUCAGCCACACUGGGACUGAGACACGGCCCAGUGUCCUACGGGAGGCAGCAGUGGGGAAUCUUGCGCAAUGGUCGAAAGACUGACGCAGCCAUGCCGCGUGAAUGAUGAAGGUCUUAGGAUUGUAAAAUUCUUUUAGCAGGGACGAUAAUGACGGUACCUGCAGAAAAAGCCCCGGCUAACUUCGUGCCAGCCGCCGCCGUAA